rnacentral:tRNA from 16 species
GCCGACGUGGCGCAAUUGGUAGCGCAACGCUCUUGUAAAGCGUAGGUUACGGGUUCAAGUCCCGUCGUCGGCUCCA